UACGGAAGGCAGCAGUGGGGAAUAUUGCACAAUGGGCGAAAGCCUGAUGCAGCUAUGCCGCGUGUAUGAAGAAGGCCUUAGGGUUGUAAAGUACUUUCAUCGGGGAGGAAAAAACAAAACUAAUAAUUUUAUUUCUUGACGUUACCCGAAAAAGAAGCACCGGCUAACUCCGUGCCAGCAGCCGCGGUAAUACGGAGGGUGCUAGCGUUAAUCAGAAUUACUGGGCGUAAAGAGCACGUAGGUGGUUUUUUUAAGUCAGAUGUGAAAUCCCUGGGCUUAACCUGGAACUGCAUUUUGAAACUGAAAUACUAGAGUAUCGUAGAGGGAGGUAGAAUUCUAGGUGUAGCGGUGAAAUGCGUAGAUAUCUGGAGGAAUACCUGUGGCGAAAGCGGCCUUCUAAACGAAUACUGACACUGAGGGUGCGAAAGCGUGGGGAGCAAACAGGGAUUAGAUACCCGU
rnacentral:rRNA from 1 species